rnacentral:rRNA from 1 species
CUAUCAUGGAGAGUUUGAUCCUGGCUCAGGACGAACGCUGGCGGCGUGCUUAACACAUGCAAGUCGAACGAGAAGACAUGAGAAGCUUGCUUCUUAUCGAUUCGAGUGGCAAACGGGUGAGUAACGCGUAAGCAACCUGCCCUUCAGAUGGGGACAACAGCUGGAAACGGCUGCUAAUACCGAAUACGUUCUUUCCGCCGCAUGACGGGAAGAAGAAAGGGAGGCCUUC